rnacentral:tRNA from 1 species
GGGUGCUUAGCUCAGCUGGGAGAGCAUCGCCCUUACAAGGCGAAUGUCGUGGGUUCGAUCCCCUCAGCACCCA